UGGGGAAUUUUCCGCAAUGGGCGAAAGCCUGACGGAGCAAUGCCGCGUGGAGGUGGAAGGCCUACGGGUCGUCAACUUCUUUUCUCGGAGAAGAAACAAUGACGGUAUCUGGGGAAUAAGCAUCGGCUAACUCUGCGCCAG
rnacentral:rRNA from 1 species